GAUCAUGGCUCAGGAUGAACGCUAGCGGCAGGCCUAACACAUGCAAGGUCGAACGGUAGAGGGAGCUUGCUUCCUUGAGAGUGGCGCACGGGUGCGUAACGCGUAUGCAACCUGCCUGUAACUAUCGGAUAGCCCUGCGAAAGUGGGAUUAAUACGAUAUGUGACUGAGAUGUGGCAUCACAUUUAGUUAAAGAUUUAUCGGCAAAGGAUCGGCCCGCGUUGGAUUAGGUAGUUGGUGGGGUAAUGGCCUACCAAGCCGACGAUCCAUAGCUGGUUUGAGAGGAUGAUCAGCCACACUGGGACUGAGACACGGCCCAGACUCCUACGGGAGGCAGCAGUGGGGAAUCUUAGACAAUGGGGGAAACCCUGAUCUAGCCAUGCCGCGUGAGCGAUGAAGGCCUUAGGGUUGUAAAGCUCUUUCAGUGGGGAAGAUAAUGACGGUACCCACAGAAGAAGCCCCGGCUAACUCCGUG
rnacentral:rRNA from 1 species